GGGUUGUGAGGUUAAGCGACUAAGCGUACACGGUGGAUGCCCUGGCAGUCAGAGGCGAUGAAGGACGUGCUAAUCUGCGAUAAGCGUCGGUAAGGUGAUAUGAACCGUUAUAACCGGCGAUUUCCGAAUGGGGAAACCCAGUGUGUUUCGACACACUAUCAUUAACUGAAUCCAUAGGUUAAUGAGGCGAACCGGGGGAACUGAAACAUCUAAGUACCCCGAGGAAAAGAAAUCAACCGAGAUUCCCCCAGUAGCGGCGAGCGAACGGGGAGGAGCCCAGAGCCUGAAUCAGUGUGUGUGUUAGUGGAAGCGUCUGGAAAGGCGUGCGAUACAGGGUGACAGCCCCGUACACAAAAAUGCACAUAUUGUGAGCUCGAUGAGUAGGGCGGGACACGUGGUAUCCUGUCUGAAUAUGGGGGGACCAUCCUCCAAGGCUAAAUACUCCUGACUGACCGAUAGUGAACCAGUACCGUGAGGGAAAGGCGAAAAGAACCCCGGCGAGGGGAGUGAAAAAGAACCUGAAACCGUGUACGUACAAGCAGUGGGAGCCUCUUAAUGGGGUGACUGCGUACCUUUUGUAUAAUGGGUCAGCGACUUAUAUUCUGUAGCAAGGUUAACCGAAUAGGGGAGCCGAAGGGAAACCGAGUCUUAACUGGGCGUUAAGUUGCAGGGUAUAGACCCGAAACCCGGUGAUCUAGCCAUGGGCAGGUUGAAGGUUGGGUAACACUAACUGGAGGACCGAACCGACUAAUGUUGAAAAAUUAGCGGAUGACUUGUGGCUGGGGGUGAAAGGCCAAUCAAACCGGGAGAUAGCUGGUUCUCCCCGAAAGCUAUUUAGGUAGCGCCUCGUGAAUUCAUCUCCGGGGGUAGAGCACUGUUUCGGCAAGGGGGUCAUCCCGACUUACCAACCCGAUGCAAACUGCGAAUACCGGAGAAUGUUAUCACGGGAGACACACGGCGGGUGCUAACGUCCGUCGUGAAGAGGGAAACAACCCAGACCGCCAGCUAAGGUCCCAAAGUCAUGGUUAAGUGGGAAACGAUGUGGGAAGGCCCAGACAGCCAGGAUGUUGGCUUAGAAGCAGCCAUCAUUUAAAGAAAGCGUAAUAGCUCACUGGUCGAGUCGGCCUGCGCGGAAGAUGUAACGGGGCUAAACCAUG
rnacentral:rRNA from 1 species